rnacentral:piRNA from 1 species
CUCCUUAUCCUGGGGUGGUCUCUUUC